rnacentral:rRNA from 1 species
UACGGGGGGGGCGAGCGUUGUUCGGAAUUACUGGGCGUAAAGGGUUUGUAGGUGGUCUGCUAAGUCAGACGUGAAAUCCCUCAGCUUAACUGGGGAACUGCGUCUGAUACUGGCGGACUUGAGGACAGGAGAGGAACGCGGAAUUCCAGGUGUAGCGGUGAAAUGCGUAGAUAUCUGGAGGAACACCGGUGGCGAAGGCGGCUAUCUGGACCGACAUUGACGCUGAGGCGCGAAAGCGUGGGGAGCAAACAGG